rnacentral:rRNA from 1 species
AGAAGCAAUAAUGUUAAUAUGAGUAACAAGAAAUAUUUCUCCUUGCACACGUGUAUAUUAGAUCGGAUGAUCCACUAAUAGUUAUCAAAAUUAAAAUAUACUAUGAAUGAAUUAAUAUUAUUAAUUGUAACCCAACACAGGAGUGCAAUAUCAGGGAAGAUUAAAGAAGUAAAAGGAACUCGGC